CUCCUUCCUAGAACAGAGGAGACAAAAAUGAAUAUAAUGAGCUUUGGGGCUCUACUGGCGUAAUAGUGAAAGUACUCAAUAAAUUACACCAUCAUCUUGCACCCAAUAGUGAUAAUGAUUAUUAUUUAAGUGUGCUGUUGUGAAGCUGAGUUGAAAUGGACCAGCAUGCUAUAGAAGUGAUUUGUGCUGUAUUAUAAUAAUUGUAUGGGACGCGGGUGGCGCUGUGGGUUAAACCACAGAGCGUAGGACUUGCUGAUCAGAAGGUCGGCGGUUCGAAUCCCUGCAACAGGGUGAUCUCCCGUUGCUUGAUCCCUGCUCCUGCCAACCUAGAAGUUUGAAAGCACGUCAAAGUGCAAGUAGAUAAAUAGGUACCGCUCUGGCAGGAAGGUAAACGGCGUUUCCAUGCACUGCUCUGGUUUGCCAGAAGUGGCUUAGUCAUGCUGGCCACAUGACCCGGAAGCUUUGCGCCAGCUCCCUCGGCCAAUAAAGCGAGAUGAGCACCGCAACCACAGAGUCGGUCACGACUGGACCUAAUGGUCAGGGGUCCCUUUACCUAUAAUAAUUGUAUUAUUUGUACCCCACCCAUCUGAUUGUGUUGCCCCAGCCACUCUGGGUAGCUUCCAACAUAUCUAGAAACAUAAAAUAACAUUAAGCGUCGAAAACUUCCCUAAAUAGCCUUCAGAUGUCUUCUAAAGGUCAGGUAGUUGUUUAUCUGUUUGGCAUCUGAUUGAUUGGAGGGCGUUCCACAGAGCGGGCGCCACUACCGAGAAGGCCCUCUGCCUGGUUCCCUGUAAGUUCACUUCUCACAGUGAGGGAACUGCCAGAAGGGCCUCGGAGGUGGACACGUCAUACUCAUUGACAUCCCUCUGAGCAGCAUUGUGAGUCUUGCUGCUUAUAUAUCCUGUGCAUGUAGCCUUGUGGGGGGAAAGGCUUGUACAUCCACUUUCCCUUCUACUGCAUGGGAAUGUUGUUUGAUAAGGCUUGCCCUAAUAAAAAUGUCAUACGGAAAAAGCAAGCCCCAUGGAAAUGGACCUUCAGCUGAAAGGAUAACCUUGGAACACCACCACCCAGGUGUUGCUGGGGUUGCCAGAUCCCUUUAGCCCCAUCUUGCAUAACUUAAUAGUCAGGGAUGGUGGAAUUUACAGCCUGGCUCACACAUUUGGAAUGCACUUACCUCAUGGGUAGGCAAACUAUGGCCCGGGGGCCGGAUCCGGCCCAAUCGCCUUCUGAAUCUGGCCCGCGGACGUUCCAUAAAUCAGUGUGUUUUUACAUGAGUAGAAUGUGUGCUUUUAUUUAAAAUGCAUCUCUGGGUUAUUUGUGGGGCAUAGGAAUUCGUUCAUCCCCCCCCCCAAAAAAAAUAUAUAGUCCGGCCCCACACAAGGUCUGAGGGACAGUGCACCGGCCCCCUGCUGAAAACGUUUGCUGACCCUGACUUACCCUGUCUUUGGCAUUGAGAUCUGCUUCACAGGCGAUGAGGUGCUCCCCACAUUCGUACUGACCUGUCCUUACGGCCACAUGUAGAGGACUGCUGAGCAACUGGUAGAAAAGGAAGGGCAGGGAGAGGCAUAAUCAACAGAAGCAGGGCAAGGCAUUCUAAAGUGAGAAACAACAAGCUCGGAUCUAAAAGGGCCUCUUGUACAAACAGCUCGCAAAUCCACUUUUAACUUUUCCCACCUCAGUUUUUCAAACGGAAAUAAUAAUAGCUUACCUUAUCUCUAGCAUUCCUGUUUAUUCCUUUGUUCAGCAAGUACUUCAGGAUUUCCACAUUGCCCCCACGGCAGGUCCAAUGAAUAGCAGUGGAUUCAAGCUACGCCAGAGGAAAAUAAUAAUAAAUAUUUGUCAACUGGUUCACAUAUGAUGUGAGUUUUCAGCACCUAAUUACUCAUGUCCUGAUGAGUCUUGGCCACUAGACUUGUGCCCGGAUAUUGUUGAUAAAAGUUUUAUUACUUUGGGAAAUAAAAAACUUUAUUGAAAAGAAAAUCCUUGUGUCUGAGAUAGCAGGAGGUAAUACAGUGGUACCUUGGGUUAAGAACUUAAUUCAUUCUGGAGGUCCGUUCUUAAUCUGAAACUGUUUUUAACCUGAGGUACCACUUUAGCUAAUGGGGCCUCCCACUGUGCUGCCGCUGUGUGAUUUGUGUUCUCAUCCUGAAGCAAAGUUCUUAACCCGAGGUACUAUUUCUGGGUUAGUGGAGUCUGUAACCUGAAGCGUCUGUAACCUGAAGCGUCUGUAACCCGAGGUACCACUGUAGUGGUUCCAUCUGCAACAGGCUAGGCAUGGCUUAUUGAUGGUUACAGUGAAUGAGUAGCGAACGUGUGUCUGUGUGAACCACCCCAAGGAACUCUGCAUGUGUCCAAUGAGCACUUACCAUAUCCUGGAAUUCAAGGUGGGCUCCUGCUUCUACUAACUUCUCCACAACUGCCAGGUGCCCUUCUGAGCAUGCUCUGUGCAAGGCUGUGCGCUUGUACUGUCAAAUGGAAUAGUCAUAGUGUGGUCAAUUUUAACCUGCAAGGCUUUGAAAUAAAUCAUACAACCCUUAGCAUGUUGAAUAUUCAAAACACUUUACACAUAAAUUAACCCCGCCCGUCUCACCCUUACCAAAACAAGACAUGCACAUGUAAGGUUUUACAUUUCCUUCUCGUGCCUUGCUAAACUUCCCUCCCCCUCGUUUAAAUUAAGCUCCUGAAGGCAAGGCCUUCUCUUUCAUUACCAUGUAUGGUGUCAUGUACAGAUAUGUAUACAAUGCCAGAUAAAUCAUAAUUUCAGUCUUUUGUUAACAACAGCCCCGUACGGCAUUUAUGUACUUAACUUGUUUAGUUUUGUCAGUUUAUAAGCCACCCUUCAGUAACAGUAGGCUCUCUUAGCUGUACAAUUUAAACAGCAUAAAUUCAUGAAGACAAAACACGACAAGCACAAGGAAAUAGAUUUUUGAUAUUGCUUGAAUGCCCAUUUAAAGAAACAAUGCUCCCCUGUCUUAGGAGUUCAGAAUACUUUAACCGUGAAAAGUGUAUCUGCUUCAAAAGGUAACACUGACAGAGUGGUGGUGGAUUUUAAAUGUAACCUUAAGAUAUAAUUUUUAAGGAGGACAUAAAAACCUCUUAAAAGCUGGUUUGAGAGGCAUUCAUUCUCCCUAUGGAGGUCUGGAAACAGCAGUGGUUGGGGAGAGAUCAGGCUCUUUAAAGAGAGAACCUUCUUUACCCUCAUCAAACUACAACUCCCAGGAUCCUUUGGGAAAGCCGUGACUGUUAAAGCUAAGAUCAAAGAUAUGCGCCUUAUAGUAGAUCUGGGACAGAAAUUGAUGAACAAAUCAUACCUCAUCACAAACGUUUGGAUCUCCUUUGUCUGCCAGGUAUUUUUCAAUUAUUGGCAUCUUGUUCUCCAAGGCAGCCUUUAAAAAUGUUGGAACAUCCACGGGUUCAGUCUGAUGGAGAGCAGAAAUAAGAGUUAGUUCAGUUCCAUGUGGGGGAACCCCAUAAAGGCAGCAGAGAAGACUAUUUUGCCCCUGAACUUACUAUAACUUCUUGCUCAGGCUCCUUUACAACGGGCACUUUAACCUUCUUGAAUUUUUUUCUCUUCUUCAGCUGAAUGAUUUUUUCAAGAUCUUCCAAGCUCUCAAGUUUUGGUCUCGCCUCUAAUUUCUUCUUCUUGAUCUGAACAACAACAACAACAACAAAAGCAAAUAAAAACAUAAGAAAAUCCCUCCUGGAUCAGACCACUGUUUUAUCUACUCCAGCAUCCUGUUCUCACAGUGGCCAACCAGAUAGAUGCCUAUGGAAAGCCUGCAAGCAGGAACUGAGUGCAAAUGUCCUGCUCCCAUUUGUGAAUCUCUGCAACUGGUAUUCAGAGUCAUACAACUUCCAAUGGUGGAAAUAGACAGGGCUUUUUUCCCCUGCCAGAACUCAAUGGAACUCAGUUCAGGCACCUCUCAGGUGGGUGCUAUUGCCAUUCUAAGAGAACAAGGGAACUGUUCAUGGUGAGUUCUGGCACAUCUCUAGGAAAAAAGGCACUGGAAGUAGCCACUGUGAGUGACUGCCAUGAAAUUAGAGCAAUAUGAGGAACAAUAACAUUAGCUUCAACAUACAAUCUCCAGGGUCCCUUGGAAUCCCCUUCAACAUUUAAAAUAAUCAGAAAAGGCGUUACUUCAGCUACUAAUACUACACUAAUCUCAAUACACCAAUUCAAAUUUAAAGAUACCACUUGAAAUUCUGCUGAAAAAAUGCUACUAGUUAUUUAAAUGUAAGACAGAUAAGUGAUUAAGGAACCAUCCAGACAUAACACAGGGUCACAUGUUCCUUAGAAUUUAUUCUAGUUAUAAAUACGUGUCAGCCUAUAUUUAAAGCACAGGCUACAUCUUUAAUGUAGAGUAACAACCCAACUUGCUUUUCACAGAACAAGGUGAUAAAGAGUGACAUAAUUUACACCCCCAAAUGUAGAAUGAUUGUUGCUCUGACAGAUUCACUGUUUCUCCUUUUUGGAGUGAUUCUUGAUCAAGUCUCAAGUUGAACCUUCAUUGCAAAAAGUGUGUUGGGCUGGGGAAGGGGCGGUUGAUUCAAAACCCUUUAAAACCCAUGUAGAAUUUGGAUCCCCUUAAACUUAACCCUGUUCUGUAAUUCUUCAUUUGAAUAAUCCAUCGCCAGGGAAGCUGUAAAAUGCUAAAUCACCAGCUCACAAUAAUCUGUUACUUCAAAGGAAAAGUCUGUGGAUUUAAAUUCCAGUAAUGUAUUUCCUAUUUUCAUAUAUCUUUGAGGAAGGGUUGGUGGAAUCUUAUUUUUAUUGCCCACCUUAAAAUUUUGUUCUCAUUGAGGAAGAUUUUUAAUAAUGUUGCCAUUCUUGAAAUGAUGGGCAUAAUUCUGCUGGCACUGAACCAAACAAUUGCAGAUGACCUUAUCUUAUAAACGGAAGGCAAAAAUGUUUUUAAGGAGGAACACCCAGGUGUCCCAAUAUGUCCUUGGCAUGCGAGGGGUGGGAUAACACAUUAUUUGCAUGCAGAAAGUCUCAGUGUGAAUUGUCUCAGCAGAGAUGGGUGAGAAAUUUGAUUCACAUUUUAAUGCAAACUGGCCUAUGUGCAAACCAAAACACAAGCUAUCUUUACAAAAUUGUACUUCUCUGAAUUUUCACAGCAGUUCUUUUGUAAUUCAUACAUUAAGACAAGUUUGCAUAUUUUCCUGAAAAUAACAUAUAAAAUGCAUUCUGUUGGGGGGAGGAUAUGUAUAGCAGGCAAAACUGCAUGGAAGUAUAUGUAUAGCAGACAGUUACAUUAAAGUGAUAAAUUUUUAUGAGAA